CUAGGAGAGGCGCCGCCCAGUGGCUCGCCAGCCCGUGCAGUGCGUGGGCCGCCAGCUUUAAGCAAGCUUCCUCCUGCCUCCACUGAAGCCAGCCAAGGCACGGAAGGAAAGUUCAGGGAAUGGUUUUUCUGCUGCCCAAAAGCAUUUGUCCUAAAGAAGACUCAACCUACAGUAAAUGCUAACUAAAAAGAAAAAGCCUGAUGUUCUAUCAUUGAGGUGAGGUUAUGCUUGGGUCUUUUCAGAAAAUGAACAAGUCCCAGAUGGCUCUUGAUCUGGUACAUCCACCCAGGACAUCCAGAGACCACCAGACAAAUGAAACAUCCACCCAGGACAUCCAGAGACCACCAGACAAAUGAAACAUCCACCUAGGACAUCCAGAGACCACCAGACAAAUGAAACAUCCAACCAGGACAUCCAGAGACCACUAGACAAUGAAACAUCCUGCCAGGACAUCCAGAGACCACCAGACAAAUGAAACAUCUGAGCAGGACAUCCAGAGACCACCAGACGAAUGAAAACAUCUGAAGGCAGAUGACAAACCCAUCAAGAGGAGAUGUCCCAAGGGGGAGAGUAAGCUGAUAAAUUGGGGAGACAGCAGGACUUUAACUCCUCAAGCUGAGACUUUGGGGAAACAACAAGGACUAACCCAAAAAUGAUGCUAUUAUGUUUAAUGACUGUAUUACAAGUUAAUUCUUGUCAAUGAAGAGUCCAAAUGCCUUUCGUCAGGGGGGAUAAGACACACUUGUGAUAGGCGACAUUUGAUAUUGUUUUGCCAUACUAAGGUUUAUAAAGGUUUAUGUGGAAUAGACUGUAUUACACCCAUUUUGCUCACAGCAAAAAUAUUAACAGAAAUUAAGACAUGGAUGAAUGGAGGACGGUGUUUGCCUUUCCUCAGUCUGUUAUUAGCUCUUCUUAUAAUUCUCUCAUGCUUGCCUGUGCUAAUUAGACUAGUUAUAAAGGCAAUGCAUUCAGCCUUGGCCUCAUUUUUUCUUUAAAAAAAUUAGAAGGGAGGAGAUGUCGGGGGCACGGAAGUCCUUGUACUCACAGAGAAGCGCUAAGAGAACCAGGAAUGUUAAUCACACAGAGGUGUCUUCUCAAUGAAGAAGAUAAAAUCAAACACCCGCAUUCCAUCCAGAAAGCUGAGAGUGGAGGUUGUUAAUGACCUGGUGACCUUUUUGCUGUCUGAAGGGACAGGCCUCACCCUAAUUACCCAGAAUAAUUAUCCCACACUCUUCCCUCCCUAAACCAUUACCCAUCUUUAGGGUAGAUAUCACAAGUACUUUAUGGCCUGCUGCCCUCUAUGUUAUUGGUCAGGGACCACACUGGAGUCUAGGUCCUUUAGCUAUAGAACCCACCCUCAUGGUCAUAUGUACUUUGUAAAAUAGUUUCUAUGUAGUCACACCUUAAGCUUUAUUGUGCACCUGGAAUUGGACUGAUUGUUGCCUGAAAACAUUUUCCCAAAUUGUACUGUGUUUUAAAUAUGCUGACAAUUAACUGCCUGGCAUUAGACUCCCAAUGUCUGAUCCAGGUUGAUGAAGUCAAUUUGCACCAAGUUUUCAUUCUUAUCUCUUCAUGUGGUUGGUUCACUUUGCUGUAUGACACCUGCAGGGACCCCCAAACCCAGGUACAUGUGUCUGUGUGGGUAUACGUGCACAUGUGUGCACGUGUGUAGAAGCCUAAGUCUGAAGUCAAAUCUGUUUCUGCAACUGAUCUCUACCUUUUAUUUUUUGAGGCAGGGUCUCUCCCUAAAUACCAACCUCACUGAUUGCUAGUCUGGGUACCAGCCGAUCUGAAAAUCCAAGACUAAGACUUAUAAGUGCCGACACUAGAGACAACCUGACUGCUCUCCACUCUGAAUGGUAUUCUUGCUGCUGAAAUAGAACUUCUUUUCUUCCAGGAGCCCAAGAGCUGAGACUGCUUGAACUCAGAGGGAAUUUGAAAUUAAGCAUAGCUCCCUAGUCGCACCUGGAUGGAUGCAGAAAAAGACUUUGAAGCCAGGUUGCUUGUUCAUGCCUGCAAUCCCAGCACUUGAGAGACUAAGGCAGGAGGAUUGCCUCAAGUGCAAGGCCAGUCUGGGCUACACAGAGUUCCAGGGCAGCCUUGGCUACAAUGGGAUACCUGUCUCAAAACCAACCAAAUAAACAGAGCCUUUCAGAUCUCUCCAUGUCCUAAGGAGACAUGAGGCUAUUUAGAACAGUGCUGGGAUCCUGGAGAUGGGAAAAGUGCUCCGUGGAAAGAAAGGACGUUCCAUUCCCUGCAAACCAUUUCACUCAGAGCCGGCAGGAUUACUUGGCAGGUAAAGAUGGCUGCUGCCAAGCUUGAUGACCUAAAUUCAAUCCCCAGGACCCACACUG